AAGGGUGGUGGAACGGGGCCAGGAGAAAUGGAAGGAGAGGACAGCUUCUUGCGUUGCAUGUUUGUCGUCGAAUCCGCCGCGUGAUUGACGGACGUUAGCGAGAGACGAGGGCUGCCUCUCUGUAUCGUGACAUCCUCUGAUCCGAUGUUUAUCUUGCACCGCUACGAGCUCGUUCCUGUUGUUCUCCAAAAGUAGUGCAUUUUCUGGAGCGCUGUACGCUGUACAACCUUCGGUCCACGACGCAGGGAAGAAAAAAAUAAUAAAGGCUAAGAGAAAGGGAACUGUUCUCGAGAAUACCUCACAAGAACGCGUUUUUUCCUCGCUCGAAAAAUAACGUGUCAGGGUCGUUGUAUUCGAGAUAUAAAUUGCUUUUCGGAAUGGAGUCUCGCGUUUCAGUGAAAAGCUAUGAUUUUCUCGGACAAAACAUAGUUUUUAGUUCUGAAUAGAAAGACUGUUUCAUUAUUUUUAAACUGUCGUCUAAAAAUUACACGUGACGCAGUGGUGCUAUAAAAAUCUCAAGUUAUUUGUACUCUUCGAGAUAUACUGUAUUGUAAGAAUACAAUAACGAUAAUACGUUUAAACAAUUUCCGUUCUAAAACUGUCAAAAAUAUUGCAAU
rnacentral:misc_RNA from 1 species